rnacentral:rRNA from 1 species
UAGGGAAUCUUCCGCAAUGGGCGAAAGCCUGACGGAGCAACGCCGCGUGAGUGAAGAAGGAUUUCGGUUCGUAAAGCUCUGUUGUUAGGGAAGAAUGAUUGUGUAGUAACUAUACACAGUAGAGACGGUACCUAACCAGAAAGCCACGGCUAACUACGUGCCAGCAGCCGCGGUAAUACGUAGGUGGCAAGCGUUGUCCGGAAUUAUUGGGCGUAAAGCGCGCGCAGGUGGUUUAAUAAGUCUGAUGUGAAAGCCCACGGCUCAACCGUGGAGGGUCAUUGGAAACUGUUAAACUUGAGUGCAGGAGAGAAAAGUGGAAUUCCUAGUGUAGCGGUGAAAUGCGUAGAGAUUAGGAGGAACACCAGUGGCGAAGGCGGCUUUUUGGCCUGUAACUGACACUGAGGCGCGAAAGCGUGGGGAGCAAACAGGAUUAGAUACCCUGGUAGUCCACGCCGUAAACGAUGAGUGCUAAGUGUUGGUCUCGUAAGAGAUCAGUGCUGCAGCUAACGCAUUAAGCACUCCGCCUGGGGAGUACGACCGCAAGGUUG